rnacentral:lncRNA from 1 species
GGGAUGAGUAAAUGCUGGAUGACAAUUAUGUGUGUAGAUCCCCUUUCCAGAUUGAUCAGAGUGAAUCAGUAGUCUCUCCAGGGACAGGGCUCAGUCUGAACCCAGGCUCAGCUGGCCUCUCUGGGCUGCCUCUCUCAAGCAGGGGUCCUCAUGUGCUGAAGUCUGUUCUCAUCAGCCUCUCACAAACUGAAGGAUUCAGAGAAACCUGCAAGUCCUCGGAGGAAGACUUGGGAAGCUCUGCCUGUGAGAGAGUUUUUCGCUGUGUAUCGGACAUUAGGGUUUCUGGAAACUUUCUGUGCAAACGUCUAAGGUGGGAAGCACACUAGAAUUUGGAACAGAUGUUAUGUCUCCAUCCCUCAGACCUGCACUUCCUCUGUGGUAUAGAAUACAAUGUUCUGUUUCUUCCUUUUCUUUCUUUUUUCCUACUAUUUGCUCGCCAAACACAAAUUGAGCUCAAAUGGAUCAAGAUGAAUCUUUUAUACAAUUGUAUUGAAAACAGUCAACUGGUAAUAGCUUAUAUUCUCCUCCAGAUUCCUUCAUUUGUGUGAAUUUCUACAUGAUUUAUAAAGAAGCGAGAUGAGACAUCUUCAAGAGUGGCAUAAACCUGCCACCGUGGUGGCUAUAUCUUUUUGUUGGUCAGUGUUAAUGAGAGUGUGCAGGCCGAUGAACUUGCAUACACUUCCAUCUCAUGCACACCCCUCAUGUGCACAGCUCUGAGUCUUCCCGUGAGCCACUUCCUUCUGGUAUUGCUGUGGCAACCGUAUUUAGGGACAGCAGUGUUGCCUGGACCUCUUCUGAGAUAGUCAUGCCAGAGCUGACAGUUUCCAGGAACACACACACACACACUUACAUAUGCUCUGGCUGUGCAAGAGGCCAUCUGGCCUGAUGUAUCACAAUACACCAAGAUGACUACAGCUCGCUGUGUGACUCACGCUUAGUCUGGGAAAGUAUACAAGUAUUUUCAACCAUGAAAUAGACAUAGGAAAUCUCCAUUUUGAUGAGAAAUUGUUUUCUCUUUUCUUGUUUUAUGAAUAAGAUGGAACGUUCAGAAGCCAUAACCCCUCGCUAACAUGCACACAAAGCUCUUUCUUCACAGUCAAACACGUUCUUUGUGUAGAGCAUGACCUUUAUAAAAAUAAACCCGAUUCAAGGAUUUUAAAGGAUUCUUCAGUGGGAAUCAGUGCAGCAAUUUGCUGAAGCUUUAGAUCCAUGUGCUAUUAUUCGGUUCAGUAUCUCACAUAUCUUGUCUCUGGUAUAAUGCUUCCAUAUUCAUCUCAUUUGAUAUGCACUGUGGGUCAGAUGGCUUUAAUUUCGCUGACUGCACCCCGGCCGGCCAGAACACUGAUGAAAUAAUGUGGCAACAAUAGAAAGCUGCGUGUGCUGCGGGGAGCUGUGCUGAACAGGCUCUGGUUUAGGAUCCCAUUUGUUUGGUAGGUUUGCAUCCAUAAAUUUGUUCUUUGACCAUUCUUGAUGCUCUCUCCACCUAGACCUCCUGUCA